rnacentral:rRNA from 1 species
AUACGUAGGGGGCGAGCGUUGUCCGGAAUGAUUGGGCGUAAAGGGCGCGUCGGCGGCGCGGUAAGUCUGGAGUGAAAGUCCUGCUUUCAAGGUGGGAAUUGCUUUGGAUACUGCAGCGCUUGAGUGCAGGAGAGGUUAUCGGAAUUCCCGGUGUAGCGGUGAAAUGCGUAGAGCUCGGGAGGAACACCAGUGGCGAAGGCGGGUAACUGGACUGCAACUGACGCUGAGGCGCGAAAGUGUGGGGAGCAAACAGGAUUAGAUACCCUGGUAGUCCACACUGUAAACGAUGAAUGCUAGGUGUAAGAGGUAUCGACCCCUUUUGUGCCGGAGUCAACACAAUAAGCAUUCCGCCUGGGGAGUACGGCCGCAAGGUUGAAACUCAAAGGAAUUGACGGGG